CAGUGAAUCCUAGCCGGAGCCAAAGGGAAAAGUGAGGGGUCCUCACAAGACCAAUGGGCAGAGCAGUCUUAAUGCAUCUGGCUCACCUUUCACUAGGGCAUCAACAGCUCCCAUGGAGAGCAACCCCAGACCUACUAAACCUUAAUGAAAUGGAAGAAAGGGCCUCCAAAGAAAGGAAAAAAGCAGUAGCUCCCUUGGCAAACCAGCCGUGACAGGAUGGGAUUCAGAUACGGGACACAAAUACCACGGCAAAGCUCACGCUCCCAAUUCGCACUGUGAACAAGCAACAGGAACAAAACUAGGUGUCUGUAUCUGAGAGCACAUGUAACUGAACACAAAGCAGCCAUUUAAAGAAGAUCAUAUCACUGUCCUGGAAAUCAACCUUAAAGGCCAAGAGGUGGCCCCUGACCAUAAGAAGCCACAGUCCCGUGACGGAGCUGACUCUAAGGAGACAAGAUGGCAGGCCUGCGGAGCACCGUGUCCAGGGAGUUGAGGUGCCGUCACGCGCAAGCCACCAGCUGGGCCGCAUCUGGGGAGCUCGCGUAGUUUUCACAAAGCUGUCUCCCAUAGCAUCGGACCUUUAAAUCACCCUGGGAGAGAGGAAAUGCCUCAUUGUCAUCUCCCUUCCACGCCUGAGGAAGUCAAUACGUGAAGAGUACAAUUCCAAGUGACGGAGCCGGGGAGCGUAUGCUGUAAUAGACAAAGGAUGCACCUUGCCUGUAAAUCCAGGUGCUGGCCCAGCACGGUCACUUACGAACAAGUUGCACCAAACCAUGGAGGCUCUGUUUGCACAACUGUCCUAUGGAACACGGGAGUUCUUCCUUACACAGAAUUGAGGGUGGACCGAGAUGUACACACACACUGAUGUCAGAGCCCAAUACAUAAACUUUCUCUCCCUCUCUUCUCCACUUAGAAUUCAUAUUCAGAUUAUCAGACUCUAGGUCAACAACCAGAACCUUAUUCUCAAAUCUCUGUAAGCUCUGGUUUAAUGAGAACCCCAGAGUUACGGUGUAGAAAUUGAGUUCCCUGGGGUGCCUGGGUGGCUCAGUCAGUUUUGGGUCCAUCCCUUGAUUUCAGCUCGGGUCAUGAUCUCACGGUUUGUGAGCUCAAGCCCCAAGUCAGCUUAG